AGAGCAGAACCCCUAAGAUGUGCCUGACUGGAUGGAGGGACCCUUCUCUCAUCACUGGUAAUGCAAAACCUGGUCUUUGUCCAAAAGAGUCUUCAAAUCAUCUAUUUUUGUUCUGGUAUUGAAGGUGACUAACACAGAAGGGCCCAGUUCAGAACUAGACACAUGCACACAUCAGUAACAACUGCAGCAAUAACUCCUUCAUUCUUGCACUUACUCACAGAGACGUGGUUCCAACACGAGGCACCGCUUGCGUGUGACACACCAACUGGAUCUGUACUCCACAUCGCCACACACGCAGAUGCUUCCCUUAAACGACUGCAGUUUGUCACCAUUCUGCUCCAACACAUCCACUGUACAUUGGUUUUAUGGCUCUACUUGGGAUUGCUAUUACAAUAUUCUGGAGUAUUUUUCUGUUUUUUUGUCAGGGAAAUGCUCAUCAUGUACUGCUACCUGGAGACCAGCAAUUCCAGCUCAUAAGCUUUCAAAUUUGUUUUCACUCUGCAAGGGAGUGAGAAGCCCAUCUUUUGAGAGGCCUCACAGCUCAUCUUUAGCAAAUUUCUUAACUUUCAGAAUAAAGAAAUCCCCAGACUUUGACUUCCA